UACGUAGGGGGCAAGCGUUGUCCGGAAUCAUUGGGCGUAAAGAGCGUGUAGGCGGUCCAGUAAGUCCGCUGUGAAAGUCAAGGGCUCAACCCUUGAAUGCCGGUGGAUACUGCUGGACUAGAGUCCGGAAGAGGCGAGUGGAAUUCCUGGUGUAGCGGUGAAAUGCGUAGAUAUCGGGAGGAACACCUGUGGCGAAAGCGGCGCACUGGACCACAACUGACGCUGAGGCGCGAAAGCUAGGGGAGCAAACAGG
rnacentral:rRNA from 1 species